GACGAACGCUGGCGGCGUGCCUAACACAUGCAAGUCGAACGGAAAGUCUCUACCGUUGUGGGGUGCACGAGUGGCGAACGGUUGCGUAACACGGGAGUACCCGGCCCUAGACUGCGGGAUAACUUCAGGAAACUGGUGCUAACACCGGAUAAGACCGCCUGCUGUUAGUUGUGGGUUGGAAAGUUGCGGCGGGUGGGGAUGGAACCGCGGCCUAAUAGCCUGUCGGUGGGGUAGUGGCUUACCAAGGCAUUGACGAGUCGCCGGCCUGAGAGGGUGACCGGCCCCAGAGGGACUCGGGAGGCAGCAGGAGUGAUACGGGGGGAAGGGGUGAGGGUUUUAGCACGAUGGGCGGAGGCCGGAUGGAGGGACGCCGCGUGGGGGAUGACGGCCGUCGGGUUGGAAAGCGCGUGCGCGUGGAACGAAGAGUGAGUGACGGUAAUGGGCAAGAAAGCACCGGCUAACUACGUG
rnacentral:rRNA from 1 species